GCUAUUCAUGAUUAAUGUCUAUAGAAUGCUAGCACAAGAAGUCAGGACCAGUUUGUCCUGCAGCCACUAACAAACAGAAUCAGGCCAGGGUUGAAGCAAGGAAGAGGAGGACAUUCAGGUCUGGGCCCUCCUGUAGACCGUGUACUAACUAACUCUAUUUUCCUGAUUUCCAUGUGAUCAGCUUUUAUAAGGAUGAUUUUUAGAAGUCAAGUUAGAUCAACUUUAAUGACUGGAAGCAGAGAAUGCAUUUUUUUUUUCCCAGUGCAGAAUGGGAAGCAUUAAAAUCAAACUUAACCUGUGGUUCAAAGGUAGGAAAAGAAGUCAAGAGAAUCAGGCAGGCUUCAAACGUUAAUGGGUCCAGGAGAGGGCGGUAUCACGCAUGGUUUUCUCGUGACAGCAAUAGAAUCCAACGCUGGCUUGGUUAAGCAGAGGGGUCUCAGAAUCUUUGCAAGGGUUGCAAAACGAGGUGUUGAGCCUGUGCAUCUAGGAUCUAGCUGUGCCUUCGGGCACCCUCCCCGUAAUGGAUUAAUCCUCCUGCUUCCCACUUUCAGAUUCAAACUCUCACAUGGGUGCACCCAGCUGGUGGAGCUCAGGGUAGGAUGCCUCUCCCCUAGUGGCAAGGGAAGCUAGGAAGGUGAGCAUUGACUGGGCUUCUGUAAAGAAAGCUGUCUCUGCCUCCUAACAGGUGAAGGUGGGGGAUUCUUUAAACCAAAAAUAUUAGUUAAGUUCUUGGCAGUCUCAACUGAUGCAGGAGUUUAAUGAAAAACUAAUUAUGAGGGUGCAGAGAACAAUAAGGGAAACCAGCAAGUUCCUGAGGGCUAGCAAAAGUGGGAGGCCAUUACCAUCUGAUGUGAAAGACAGGUAAUGUUAAUGCAAUGUAGUGAGACUGGUAGCUGUAGAAGUUGUGGUCUCAGGCAGAGGAAGGCAGCCACUCCCAGCUUGUGUCUUGGUAUUGGGGAAGCUGGGUAAAUAAACACCCUAAUUCCUCUCUCUUCCCGCUUUGCAGUUUCCUGCUGGAGCCUCCCAUUGGCUGAGCAUUUAGAAGCCAGUGGUCCAGGGAGUCUAUGAGGCAGUCCAUGGAGGUCAGGCUUGCAAGUAUAAAUCAAGCCAUCCAAGAAAUUUACUGAGGACCCACUAUGUGCCUAACAAGGUGCUUCGUAGUGGUGAUACAAAGAGAGGACACAGUGACCCAGCCUUCAAGAAUCUUUCAGCUUACUAAGGAAGAUAGAUCUUGGACAGAACACAUGAGCAUGAGCGGGGGAGGGGCAGAGAGAGAGGGAGAUGCAGAAUGUGAAGCAGGCUCCAGGCUCUGAGCUGUCAGCACAGAACUCAACGCGGGGCCUGAACCCAGGAACUGUGAGAUCAUGACCUGAGCUGAAAUCAGACACUUAACUGACUGAGCCAUCCAGGAACUGUGCAUGAAGAGAGGGGAAAAAAAAAACAACUUGAACAUAGCGACCAAAAGAUGGGGAAAGUGACUCUACCUAAUGAAACUGUCCUUCUACAUCUGCCAAUCUGUGCCUUCCUAACAUCUAAACUGCAAAUAAUAUUGGAUGUGCUGAGGAUGCCAAUUUCCUUCUGGUGCCCAGUGAAAAGAGCUGCACGGCUGAAUGAACACCAACAAAUCUCUUUGCAGAAGUUAGGGCAACGUCGAGGAUCUGCCACAACAUGUCCUUCCAACUCCUGGGUACCAGGAAAGUCCUAACCACUAUUUGGGGCACUUGGACGGUCUUCAACUUCACUUUGAAAGAAUAAUCAGAAUUGCUAUCAUUUUUAUAGAGGGUAAGCAGUUCCUACAACCAUACUGCAAUAAUCAUUUUCAUCUCAUUAUUAAAAGUCUAU